rnacentral:rRNA from 1 species
AUAUGUCGAUCGUAGCGGUCAUCAUAGCAGGAGACGCAGCACCUACACAAACACUUUGUGAACUUAUACCUUACUGUUGCCUCGGCGCAGGCCGGCCCCCCUGGGGGCCCCCCGGAGACGGGGAGCAGCCCGCCGGCGGCCAAGUUAACUCUUGUUUUUAUACUGAAACUCUGAGAAAUAAACAUAAAUGAAUCAAAACUUUCAACAACGGAUCUCUUGGUUCUGGCAUCGAUGAAGAACGCAGCGAAAUGCGAUAAGUAAUGUGAAUUGCAGAAUUCAGUGAAUCAUCGAAUCUUUGAACGCACAUUGCGCCCUCUGGUAUUCCGGAGGGCAUGCCUGUUCGAGCGUCAUUUCAACCCUCAAGCCUGGCUUGGUGUUGGGGCACUGCGUCUCUCGCGGGAUGCAGGCCCUGAAAUUCAUUGGCGAGCUCGCCAGGACCCCGAGCGCAGUAGUUAAACCCUCGCUCUGGAAGGCCCUGGCGGUGCCCUGCCGUUAAACCCCCAACUUCUGAAAAUUUGACCUCGGAUCAGGUAGGAAUACCCGCUGAACUUAAGCAUAUCAAUAAGCGGAGGA